AAAAACAUGGUGUAAAAGCUAAAUAUGUUCAUACAUACUUUAAAUCAAAUAACUGAAGAAUAAAAUUACUUUUACAGUGACACGUGGGCCCCCAACUGACCAAGAAGGUGUAGGGCUACGAACCCUUACUUUUUAGGAUGCAACUUCGAGAUUAAUUCUCGUCUUAAUCAACUAUCAAUAAAUUGUCCUGAGCCUGAAAAAUGGAUAGGAAGAGGGGUGAGAUUAUGAUUACAUAAUCCCAGUGAGUAAACAAUUACCAUCAAAAGCAUAUAAAGCCGAGUAGAUGGAGACAAUAUAAAAACGUUAUAUCUCAAUAAUGUUCAUAACACAAAAUUCGUUUCAAUCUAUACCAAAUAAUUUCUUUUUAUCAAAAUUUCCCGACUUAUGAAUUUCUUAAACUUGGCCCCUGCCAGAAUCAUUCUCGCGGGUACCUUCGUCAAGGUAUCCCACUGAGACCGCUAAUGCUGUUCAAUGACCCAUACCCAUAAACAUGUUUUCACAUCUAACACACAGCCGUUCCUUUACGAUGGCUGAGUCUCACUCUCACGUGGUGGCUCAAACGUGAGGUGCACUCAAAUCAUACCUCAGGAGAUACUUCACCCAACAUCUCCCCCCGGAGGUAAAUAUAUAAUUGAGUUACCGUGCCCCUCUCAUAGGCAGUCCAUGAAAACCCCCACCACUGCAGUGACCGUUUAAUAUACCACCAGACCCAUAAAAAUUCCAAUAGUAUAAUAUGACGAAUAAAAUGUAAUCCAGUCUACCGAGACCAAUCCAAAACUGUUCAUAUAUUUCAUGCCAACCCAAAAAAAUUUAGCCAUCAUGCUACCAUAGUGUCAUAAGCCCCAAUUUCAAUAACAUAUAAAAUCAUAAAUUUCAACAGUCUCCAUAUACUCAAUUUUCCCAAAACAAUAUUUGAUUUCAAAACCAGUAUAAAUCUCAUUUUUAUUAAAAAAUAUUUUAAUUGAAAAUCAUAAUAUUUUAUAAUUUAAACUCACCAUUCAAUAAAAACAUCAAACAAGUAUAAUUACUCUAGAUAUUUAAGACGAUAAAUUAUCCACUCACAGUUCUAGGAGUCGAUAUACUCCUAUUUUCAGUCUGCGGGUACAGUCCUUUACCUGUAUCUAAUGGCUCACCACCUAGCCAUAAUCCAUGGCACAUAUUUCAAUUAAAUUAUGUCUAAUAGUCAUAAGUUAUUUCAGGCUCGAUAUAUAUGCAUGAUAUGAAAUGAAAAAUGCACAGGUAGCCAUCUAGAACCCGGUAUUGACCUAAGUCGAUUUUUCAUCCAAUAAAUUGGCCAAUGCGUCCAAUUUCACUCCAACUUCCUCCAUUUCUUUUUCAAUCCCUCAAUUCACCAAGCACAACUAAUUAACACACAAUUAGGCAAAAUUUAUCUUCACUUUUCUUCUAGGAACUUUCGGCCAACAAUGGUACACUAACUCCGUGAUUUUUCCUACUUAAUUUUCUCUCCAUAAUUCAUUAAUUCCUACACCAAAAACUAUUAUUUCUUAAUCAAAUCACCUAGAAUAACAUCCCAUUCUUCCUCUUUAUUCACUUAGAGAAUUCGGCUAUUGAUGGGCACCAAACCUUUGGUGGUUUUCUUCACUUGUUUUCAUGCUACACAUCAUUAAUCACCUAAAAACACUAACAUACCUAAAAAUCAAACCAAUCCAAGAUCAUUCUCUCUCCAUACCCAUUUUGACCAGCCAUGAAUUCAUCAUGAAAACAUGUAAUUUAACCAUGGAAAUUAAGGAAAAAUGCAUGGGUAAGGUAAAUCACUAGCAAAAUCAAAGAAAUUUUACCUUUGCUUGAUCAAAUCCUUGAAUUCCAACACUUUCUCUUUGAUUUUUCCCACCUAGGGUUUGUUCUUCCUUGGUUUCUCUUCUCUUCUGGUUUGG
rnacentral:lncRNA from 1 species